UGCCCCAUGGCUGAGUUGGUUACAGCGUCCGACUGUUAUGAAGUAAUCGGAAGGUCGAGAGUUCGAGCCUCUCUGGGGCAG